rnacentral:rRNA from 1 species
AGCAGCAGCCGCGGUAAUACGUAGGGUGCGAGCGUUAAUCGGAAUUACUGGGUGUAAAGCGUGCGCAGGCGGUUAUAUAAGACAGAUGUGAAAUCCCCGGGCUCAACCUGGGACCUGCAUUUGUGACUGUAUAGCUAGAGUACGGUAGAGGGGGAUGGAAUCCCGCGUGUAGCAGUGAAAUGCGUAGAUAUGCGGAGGAACACCGAUGGCGAAGGCAAUCCCCUGGACCUGUACUGACGCUCAUGCACGAAAGCGUGGGGAGCAAACAGGAUUAGAUACCCCCGUAGUCCCUGUCUCUUAUAC